GGGGGUGACAUGGCUUCGACGCCGGUUAUGAAGCCUGCAGGGGCAUGCGGAGAGGGUGACAUCUCUCGUUAAUCAAAGUCACAAGCAACAUAGUCGCAAACGACGAAAACUACGCACUGGCAGCUUAAUACCUGCCUACGACUGAAGCUGCCUGCCUAUGGGCGGUGGACGUCGGCGCAAAAAACAUAGGAUCGCAAGAGCGCCUUGUCUCGUGGCACUCUGUUAAAAAAUAGAGGAUCGCCUUCUGCUCCCUGUCGCUCGGGCCGUAGCGGGUUAAAUCAAUAGAGACGACUAAGCAUGUAGAACCGAGGGUAGAGUGCUGACGGACGCGGGUUCGAUCCCCGCCACCUCCACCA
rnacentral:tmRNA from 1 species